GAUGAAGAACGCAGCGAAAUGCGAUAAGUAGUGUGAAUUGCAGAAUUCAGUGAAUCAUCGAAUCUUUGAACGCACAUUGCGCCCCUCGGUAUUCCGUGGGGCAUGCCUGUUCGAGCGUCAUUUACCCCUCAAGCACUGCUUGGUGUUGGGCGUCUGUCCCGCUUCGCGCGCGGACUCGCCCCAAAGGUAUUGGCAGCGGUCGUGCCAGCUUCUCGCGCAGCACAUUGCGCUUCUCGAGGCGGUCGAUCGGCGUCCACGAAGCUCACCUCCACCGUUUGACCUCGGAUCAGGUAGGGAUACCCGCUGAACUUAAGCAUAUCAAUGAGCGGAGGA
rnacentral:misc_RNA from 1 species